rfam:Nematostella vectensis strain CH2 x CH6 NEMVEscaffold_2288_Cont41200, whole genome shotgun sequence.
GUUUCCGUAGUGUAGUUGUUAUCACGUCUGCCUCACACGCAGAAGGUCCCCAGUUCGAGUCUGGGCGGAAACA